UAGAAAAUUCGAGCUCCUCUUUCUCCCGUCUCUUUUUCCCAUUCCGUCCGUGAGAAGGUAACCUCCUUCGGAAGUCGGCACGGCAGCAGCAGCGGUGGCGCAGGCUCAUGCUUUGCUUCGGCAGCAGCACCGGAAGAUCCACAAGAAGAGCGACCGCGGCCGCAGCGCUUUCUCCCCCUCCAUCAUUUCCGCUUCCAGCUGAUCCAGAGGAGGAUGGGGAAGGAAUCAAUGGGAGGAGGUGGAGGAAUAGAGAUCGCAGCCCACUCUCAGAGCGCAGAGCCCCGACGACAUCAGCGGCAGAAUCUGGCGCCGCUUCACCCGUCUCCUCCACCAUCAACCUUAGCAGAGAGUACACGCACGCCGUCACCACGAGCUCCUUCCAGGAGAUAUGGUCCAAGAUCCACUAUGACCAGUCCGAGGGGGAGGGCGAGUGGUGGGACGAGGAGGAGAUGACCGACUUAUCUAUGGAGGUGGUGGAGGAGGGGGCUCCUCCGUCAUCAAGCCGCAUAAUCGCGCAGGUCCUCCAGCCGGACCGGACCUCGAUUGAAGAGGCCCUUCAUGGUGCGCCUCCCACCCGCCUCGCCAGACUCGUUUCGGACUAUUUCGACGGCAGCGAGCACACCUCCCGCUUCUGCCUCUCCCUCGUUCGAGCCGUCCGCCGCGCCCGCUCCCUCUACGCGCCAAUCGGCGACCUUAUUGAUCUCCUCCCAACCUCCACGGCAGUCGAUGACUUUCCCGCCCGUCUGACCGAGGCCCAGUGCGACUUGGCUUUCGACAGACUCCUCGAGUUCGACCGGCUGGGCAAUCCCUUCACGGCUCCUUCCAGCGACGGCAGCUGCAGUUUCCAGGGUCUGCGGGGAUGCUUCGCUGAGCUUAAGCAGCAACUGGAGCUUCGCCUACUCAAGGCCAGCCGGAGGUACCGGCUGAUGUGUUGCGCCACCCGAGGGUCCGGCGCCUGUUUGAUCGUCUCAACCAUCGGCCUCGCUGUGACUGGAGUGGUUUUGGCCACGCAUGCACUGGUAACUCUCAUGGCUGGGCCUGCUUUGUUUUCUGGGGGCUGCCACCGAAUGGUAGACGUACCAGGACUGAGGAAACGGCAGAGGGAUUCCAUAGCCCAGCUGGAGGCUGCCUCACGAGGGGUGUACGUGAUUAACAACGACCUGGACACAAUCGACCGCCUGGUGGCAAGGUUGCAUGCGACGGUGGAGAGUGACAGGGUGCUGGUGCGGCUGGGUCUGGAAAGCGGGAAGCGUCAGCAGCACCCCAUCCAAGAGGUGUUGCACCAUCUCCGCAAGAACCACCCCAGCUUCCUCAACCAGCUUGAGGACCUCGAGGAGCAUGUCUGUCUUUACUUUGCUGCCGUCAACCGUGCCAGGUUCCUCCUUUUUAGGCAGAUCCAACAGCAGCCACCACCACCUUAAUUUACAGCACUGACAUGUCUUUGUUGUGGAUUUAUCUUGCUACGUAUCAGAGAACAUUUUCAUGUAGGAGUGAAGCAUCUAACAAUGGAAGCAAAGCUACUUAUUUUGUAGGUACCAAAUGCAGUCAUCUAUUUUUUAGUUCAGCAUAGUUACUGUUUUUAUUUCACUUUUGUUCAAGUUGUAUUACCUGUUAGAUGUCUUGAAUAAUGUUGCAUUUUAGUGUAAAGACUUACCAAUAAGUCCCAUAUUAGAAGCGGAAGGAUGAUUGUGAUGGUUUAUGGGGACAGAUGGGUCCUAUUCUAGGAAACAAUUGCAACAUAUGUCUACACUGGAGACAGCUCUGGAUUUUAUUAGGAAAUUGUAGCUGAUCAUACUAUUUUUCUACCAUCUCUAGGCUAUAAUUUAGCUUUAAACUGAAAAAGAUAAAUCCAUAAUUUCUGCGAGACAUGCAUUACAGUUCACUUGCAAUCAAGCGAUUAGUGUAUAUAGCUAGCUUUUCACAUAUCAGAAUAUGUAUGAUACUUCUGCAAGAUCUCUCAUUGUCUUAUUGUAAUUGGCGAUGCAUAUUAAAUCUUGAAGUGUUUUGUUGAUCAACUAGUCUCUUUAAAAUAUCUGAGAUGGGAGUUGUGGUUUCUGGCAGUCGUGUACACAUUUUUGCACGUGCAAUUGUACCUUUCUAGAACAAUCACCAUAUGCUAGAACCUUUAUAAGUCUUGAAAGUCUUUGUUGUUUAUGAUCUAUCCUGUAUGCAAUGCUUCCUUGUUCCAUGAUUUGGUGCUUGAUAGUUUCUGCUUAAUUGCCAUCAUGAGCAUGAUUGCAAUAGUCGGUGAUAUGGCAGCGUCACAAGCUAGAGUGAUUUACUUAAUUGGCAAAUUCAGGAUUGUUCGCCAUUUUAGUUAAAACUGUGUCAGACAGUGUGCUCCUAGUUAUGAAUUUACAUUUGCACAUAUGACCUGGUGAUAACAUGUAUGCAUAUGAGAUUGUCUACACACCAUCAUCAUGGAAUUAUUUCAUGUUUGGAAUCCUUUCUUCAGGUCAGCAUUUUUACCUUUAAAAAUUGACUGAUGUUAUGUCAUGAUAAAAAUAAGCAGGUUGGUAAUAACAGUUACAUCAGCUGCUUGUGGAAGCCAACAUUAUGCUCUGUGCCAGUUGGAGUCCUGUCAAGAAAGGAUCACAAGCUAUACUCUGUAGAUCAAUGAUAUGUGUUAAUACCAUUGUUAAUCCUUACAGAUGAGAUCCAGAGAGGUUAUAUGAUGAAGGUAAUUUCAUUGCUCCUCAAAUCAGUUCAUCCUUACAGAUAAGAUCUAAAGAGGUUAUUUGAUGAAGGUAAUUUCAUUGCUUGUCAAAUCAGUUCACCUAAUGAUGGCAAAAUAAAGACAGCUGAAGAUUGAUUCAGGUAUGAUCUAAUAAAUAUGAAAUUCAAUAUAAAGUAAAA